rnacentral:lncRNA from 1 species
AUGGCUGACUUCCCUCCCCAUACGGGCACUUUAGGGGCUGGCCGCCAUUUUGUGAGGUUCCUGGAAGGCAGACAUCUCGCGGACACGUCAGGGUUGAGGAAGGUGAGCCUUGCACCGUGGGGGUACCACCACAGCCCAGAGGGGAGCACAAGUGCUUGCUGGAGGAGGAGCCCAUUUUCCAUCGUGAAUCCUGCAGUAGUCUCUUCCCUUAAAGACCUUGGACCCGGAGAUCCCAGGGAAGCUCCUCAACUAGCCAUUCAUCAAGGCCUGUGAGUCUUCAUCUCUGUGACCUGCACUGUGUCCUGCCUG